rnacentral:tRNA from 14 species
AGCGUAGUGGUAAAGUGCUAGCAUUGAUACCGAGAGGUGGUAGGUUCAAUUCUCACUCUU